GCAAACAGACAUUGAGGCUGAACUUAUUUCGUUUAAGAAGGGAAAAUACAGAGGAAAACACCAUCCUAGAACAAGUGUAUUUUCAAUCAUUACUUCCAGAACGGUUGAAACCAGUAUUGAAGGUUUUGGAAGAAGUUGAGAGGAUGUGACCACUGCUUGAACUGCAAGUUGGACCCGGGCAUGUAGAAGUUCUUCACCUCCUCCUUUGUCCUUGGAGUGUACAUUUUGCCCACUGUUCCUGCAGGAGGAGCCAUUUUCAAGGUCACAGCCUUGAGAGAAUAAGGUGCUGGGACCAUCUGGACUGAAUACGUGACUGAGCCCAGGUAUAAAGGACACUUUCUCAUAAUAGCAGAAUACUUUUUGACCUGUAUAUGCACCGCUUUUUGUACUCACUUUCAAGUCAAGACCGCUAAAGGAGACAUUGCAAAGGGUUGUGUGGAGGCCAAGAUGUGAUGCUGAAUAGGUGACCUGUUUUCUAUAACGAGCUGGCAUGGGAUUAUGGACAGAGCACAGGCUUGCAGACUGAUAUAGCUCCAAUGUUCUGGUUUAAUUAACCUCUUGGAGUCUGCAUCCCUCAUUUGUUAAACCACAGACAUUGAUAUUUAUCUCAAAGGAUGUUGAAAGGAUUCGGAGUAUUAGUAUUUGAGAAAACACCUGGUAUCAUCAGUGCAUUGUAAAGACAAUACUCAAUACUUACUAACCUUCACUCUUUUGCAUUAUCUAGAAAACUUCUCAACUUUUCUUAGCCUCUUGGCCACCAAGCUUAAAAAAGAUCUGGCUCUGCGGAUACAUAUGAAAACAGUUGAUAAUGGGUAAUGUGCUAAACAAGGGAUCAGAUCCGAACGUCGGGGAGUAUCAGAGGUUAAGAGCACAGUCUGGAGUGAUAGACCAGCCCUCGAACUUCAGCCCCAUCACAAGCUAACAAGGGAGUCUGCGGCAGGUUGCUUAACUUCUUUAGGUUUUCUCACCUGUAAACAUGAGGUGAUAACAGCACCUAACUCAGACUCCUUAUUGGCAACUAAUGGAGAUAUGGCCAGUACAGAGCUUGGUGCAGUGGCUGCCCUGGGGCAAGUGCUUUUUUAAGUUAUAAUUAAUACUUUUAUAGAUAUUUCCAUUUUUAAUAAUCAGAUCAUUGGCUAUGUAACUAACUCAUCACCCCCAAACAUGCUAGAAAUGACGAUAAUAAAGAUUGCAAUUGAAUCCUUGCAUUAAAAAUUCUACUUUCCUACUUCUUGUUAAUAUUUUUCUUUGGUAAUUCAACACAUUAACUAUAUGAGCACUGACUGCAGCGGGAGAAGUCGUGACAUACUUCUGUGGGAUGAUAAUGAACGUUAGUACAGCUGAGGAAGCCGCGUUUUCUGCGGUCAUCUCCAUUCACCUAUACAGUCAUCCCUCAGUAACCGCAAGGGAUCGAUUCCAGGACCUCCACAGGUAUCAGAUAUCAAAUUCUACAAAUGCUCAAGUUCUUUAUAUAAAACGGCAUAGUACAAUUGGUCCUCCAUAUCUGUGGGUUCUCACUGAUGGAGCGGCUGGUUGAAUCUGCAGAUCUGGAACCCCCGGCUACGGAGGUUCGACUGCAUUCUUAUCGUGUGCAUCGUAGUGAAGGAACAGUUUACUUCUUUGACUUAGAAACAUCGUAACCUACAAAUACAUUGAGGACUUCGAAUAGAGGCCAAUGAGCUUCAGAUAUGUGCCAAUGAAUACAAAUACCUGCUAAUGCAUCAUAAAUAAUCACCUUCCUUAAUUCAAAGUUUACAAAACAAAUACAGUUGACCCUUAAACAACAUGGUUUGAACUACGUGAGUCCACUCACACGCAGGUUUUUUUCAAUAAGUAUGCAUGCAGCACUGCACAGUCUGUGUUUGGUCGAAUCCGUGGAUGUGGAUAUGGAGGGCCGACUGUAAAGUUACGUGUGGGUUUUUCAACUGGCAGGGUCACCGCCCCUAACCGCCUCGUUGUCCAAGGCUCAACUGUAUAUAUGUUUCUCAAUGCGUAUGUCAUUCCAAUAUCACCACUGGUCUAAACGUAUUUAGAUUUUUUUGAAUAUUAAAGAUUCACACGACAUUUUGGGCUAUACGUUUCCACAACUUCUCAAACUGACACCUAGCUUUAUCUGGUUUCUCCAAUUUUGUUUCAGUUAGAAUAUAAAAUAGUUUUUAUAAAACUGUAUGGGAUCUGAUUAUGAAAAAAAUUAGAUGGGGAGGAAGGGCAUGUUAAAUACAACAAUGAUGGUUUUCAUGACUUGCCUAUAAAAAUAAGGCUAAGUAGGAAGCGUGAAACUGAGCCAGAAGAUCCCUGACUUUGAUGGUGGACAUGAGUCAUAAAGCCAGGUCUGGUCCCUUCUCCAGGGCCCUCUAACGAGUGAGCUCACUGUCUCAGAAUUCAGUCUGGUCAUUUGGUUCAAAUAUCUUAUUUGCAAAAUCCACUGAAACUCUUUAGGAAAUAAAUACAUAUUUAAAAGAAUAAGGGACCAAUUACGUUUCCAAAAUAUUGUAAACGAAGUCCUUUUCCCUUUUGUUUAGGUAUUUUAAGCUUAACGUCUAAAGAUCUGUUUCUGUUGUUCAUACAGUGAGUUUUCCACUGCAUUUUGAAAGUUAAGAUAGUGAUGGGAAAUAGACCGCGGUUCAUAAGCUCUGGGUUUGAACAAACUUUUGCAAGGUUAUAUUGACAAAUUUUUUUAAGCAAAGAGUAAUUCUUUAGUUAUUGUUAGAAAAUAUCAAAUGUUAAAGAUGGAAUAUUUUUAAUUGAAGGAAAACCAUACUGUAAAUUAUUGUAUGUUAUAAAUUGUGAGAAUCAGUGUAUGCUUUACAAAAAGAAAAUGGAGCCUGUUGAUUAUAAGUGUAGUCCUGUAUAUACACUAUAUUUAUAUGUCUCUCUUUCUGCACCCCUUAUUUUGAAUAAACAGUUGUAUUAUAUUUCAACAGCUGAAUAGAUUUCUCUUGCAAUUUUAAACAAUUCAUCCAUUUCAGAAUAA